rnacentral:rRNA from 1 species
UACGUAGGGGGCAAGCGUUGUCCGGAAUUAUUGGGCGUAAAGAGCUCGUAGGCGGCUUGGCAAGUCGGGUGUGAAACCUCCAGGCUCAACCUGGAGACGCCACUCGAUACUGCUAUGGCUAGAGUCCGGUAGGGGACCACGGAAUUCCUGGUGUAGCGGUGAAAUGCGCAGAUAUCAGGAGGAACACCGGUGGCGAAGGCGGUGGUCUGGGCCGGCACUGACGCUGAGGAGCGAAAGCGUGGGUAGCAAACAGG